rnacentral:rRNA from 1 species
UUAAGUCCCGCAACGAGCGCAACCCUCGUCCUUAGUUGCCACCAUUCAGUUGGGCACUCUAGGGGAGACUGCCGGCGUUAAGCCGGAGGAAGGUGGGGACGACGUCAAGUCAUCAUGGCCCUUAUGUCCAGGGCCACACACGUGCUACAAUGGGCGGUACAAAGGGUCGCAAACCCGCGAGGGGGAGCCAAUCCCAAAAAGCCGCUCUCAGUUCGGAUUGGAGUCUGCAACUCGACUCCAUGAAGUUGGAAUCGCUAGUAAUCGCGGAUCAGCACGCCGCGGUGAAUACGUUCCCGGGCCUUGUACACACCGCCCGUCACACCAUGGAAGCCAGCUGUACCGGAAGUCGGUGCACCAACCCGCAAGGGAGGUAGCCGCCUAUGGUAUGACUGGUGACUGGGGUG